rnacentral:lncRNA from 1 species
GAGAGCAUGCAGAACAGAGAUCUUGAGGUAGAAGGAAAAACUGAAAUUUCAUUCCUUAUUUAUUAAUAAAGAAAUAUGAUUUUGUGGAAAUAAAAUCAGGGAACAAGCGAAACUGUGAAAACUUCAUUCCUUAUUUAUUUUGUAUGCAGUAGAUAUAGCUAAGAUAAAAAAUGCGAUGCAAAACAAACAUAAGACAAUAAAAA